UACGUAGGGGGCUAGCGUUGUCCGGAAUCAUUGGGCGUAAAGAGCGUGUAGGCGGCUCGAUAAGUCCGCUGUGAAAGUCCAGGGCUCAACCCUGGGAUGCCGGUGGAUACUGUCGGGCUCGAGUCCGGAAGAGGCGAGUGGAAUUCCUGGUGUAGCGGUGAAAUGCGCAGAUAUCAGGAGGAACACCAAUGGCGAAGGCAGCUCGCUGGGACGUGACUGACGCUGAGACGCGAAAGCGUGGGGAGCGAACAGG
rnacentral:rRNA from 1 species